rnacentral:rRNA from 1 species
UGAAUACGAGAUGCUACGGCGUUGAAGCAGUCUAUGUCAUACUUCCAAGAAAAGCUUGCACUGUCACAAACAAAGAAUGCCUGUACCAUAACCGACACAGGUGGGUAGGUAGAGUAUACUAAGGGGCGCGAGAUAACUCUCUCUAAGGAACUCGGCAAAAUGACUCCGUAACUUCGGGAGAAGGAGUGCCUUAUUUUUAAGGUUGCAAUAACAAGAUCCAAGCAACUGUUUACCAAAAACACAGGUCUCCGCUAAGUCGUAAGACGAUGUAUGGGGGCUGACGCCUGCCCAGUGCCAGAAGGUUAAAGAAGUCGGUUAGCAUUCGCGAUGCUGAGAACUGAAGCCCUGGUGAACGGCGGCCGUAACUAUAACGGUCCUAAGGUAGCGAAAUUCCUUGUCGGGUAAGUUCCGACCCGCACGAAAGGCGUAAUGAUUUGGAUACUGUCUCGGAGAGGGGCUCGGUGAAAUAGACUUGUCUGUGAAGAUGCGGACUACCUGCACCUGGACAGAAAGACCCUAUGAAGCUUUACUGUAACUUGAGAUUGAAAUUGGACUUUAUUUGCGCAGUAUAGGUGGGAGGCGUUGAGAAUAAUCUUGCGGGAUUAUUGGAGCCAUCAGUGAGAUACCACUCUUGUAAUGUUAGAUUUCUAACUUUGUAUCAUUCUCUGGUCAAAGAACAGUUUCAGGCGGGCAGUUUGACUGGGGCGGUCGCCUCCCAAAGGGUAACGGAGGCGCACAAAGGUUUCCUCUGAACGGGUAGAAAUCGUAUCUAGAGUGUAAAGGCAUAAGGAAGCUUGACUGUGAGACCUACAAGUCGAGCAGGGACGAAAGUCGGUCUUAGUGAUCUGACGGUGCUGAGUGGAAAGGCCGUCACUCAACGGAUAAAAGUUACUCUAGGAUAACAGGCUGAUCUCCCCCAAGAGUUCACAUCGACGGGGAGGUUUGGCACCUCGAUGUCGGCUCAUCGCAUCCUGGGGCGGUAGUACGUCCCAAGGGUUGGGCUGUUCGCCCAUGAAAGCGGUACGCGAGCUGGGUUCAGAACGUCGUGAGACAGUUCGGUCCAUAUCCGGUGUAGGCGUUAGAAUAUUGAGAGGAGCCUUCUCUAGUACGAGAGGACCGAGAAGGACAUACCUCUGGUGUACCAGUUAUCGUGCCAACGGUAAACGCUGGGUAGCUAUGUAUGGAGUGGAUAACCGCUGAAAGCAUCUAAGUGGGAAGCCCACCUCAAGAUAAG